ACGGGGUGCAGCAGGCGCGAAAACUCCACAAUGCGCGAAAGCGUGAUGGGGUUACCCCGAGUGCUGUUCAAUGAGGAUAGCUUUUCUCUAGUGUAAGGAGCUAGAGGAAUAAAGGGGGGGUAAGACUGGUGUCAGCCGCCGCGGUAAUACCAGCCCCCUGAGUGAUAGGGACGAUUAUUUAGCCUAAAGCGUCCGUAGCCGGUUUAGUAAGUCUUUCGUUAAAUCUGACGGCUUAACCGUUAGGCCGCGGAAGAUACUGCUAGACUAGAGGGCGGGAGAGGUUGACGGUAUUUCCGGGGUAGGGGUGAAAUCCUAUAAUCCCGGGAGGACCACCAGUGGCGAAGGCGGUCAACUAGAACGCGCCUGACGGUGAGGGACGAAAGCUGGGGGAGCGAACCGGAUUAGACACCCGGGUAGUCCCAGCCGUAAACGAUGCGGGCUAGGUGUUGGGGCAGCUACGAGCUGCCCCAGUGCCGCAGAGAAGUUGUUAAGCCCGCCGCUUGGGAAGUACGGCCUCAAGGCUGAAACUUAAAGGAAUUGGCGGGGGAGCAC
rnacentral:rRNA from 1 species